ACUUGUUCUUUAAUUAAGGACCGGUAUGAAUGGCACCACGAAUAUCUAACUGUCUCUUUUCUUCUAUCAUUGAAACUAAUCUCCCCGUGAAAAAGCGGGGAUAUAUCUAUAAGACGAGAAGACCCUAUGGAGCUUUAAACCAAAUAGCAAUUAUUUUAAUUCUGCUACGAGGUUUUUGGUCGGGGCAGCCGCGGAGAACAACUUAUCCUCCAAAUUGUACCUAGAAUCUUCUUUAACCAUAAGCCACAUCUUUACGUAUCAAUAAAUUGACAUUAAUUGACCCAGUUUCUGAUCAACGAAACAAGUUACCCUAGGGAUAACAGCGCAAUCUUCUUCAAGAGUUCAUAUCGACAAGCGGGUUUACG
rnacentral:rRNA from 1 species